AGUGAACGCUGGCGGUAGGCCUAACACAUGCAAGUCGAACGGCAGCACAGAGGAGCUUGCUCCUUGGGUGGCGAGUGGCGGACGGGUGAGGAAUACAUCGGAAUCUACUCUGUCGUGGGGGGUAACGUAGGGAAACUUACGCUAAUACCGCAUACGACCUACGGGUGAAAGCAGGGGACCUUCGGGCCUUGCGCGAUUGAAUGAGCCGAUGUCGGAUUAGCUGGUUGGCGGGGUAAAGGCCCACCAAGGCGACGAUCCGUAGCUGGUCUGAGAGGAUGAUCGGCCACGCUGGAACUGAGGCACGGUCCAGACUCCUACGGGAGGCAGCAGUGGGGAAUAUUGGACAAUGGGCGAAAGCCUGAUCCAGCCAUACCGCGUGGGGGAAGAAGGACUUCGGGUUGUAAAGCCCUUUUGUUGGGAAAGAAAUCCAGCUGGCUAAUACCCGGUUGGGAUGACGGUACCCAAAGAAUAAGCACCGGCUAACUUCGUGCCAGCCGCCGCGGUAA
rnacentral:rRNA from 1 species